CAGUCGCCACGGGAAUACGAAGGGUGCAAGCGUUAAUCGGAAUUACCGGGCGUAAAGUGUGCGUAGGCGGUGGGUUAAGUCUGUUGUGAAAUCCCCGGGUUCAACCUGGGAAUGGCAAUGGAUACUGGCAAGCUAGAGUGUGUCAGAGGAUGGUGGAAUUCCCGGUGUAGCGGUGAAAUGCGUAGAGAUCGGGAGGAACAUCAGUGGCGAAGGCGGCCAUCUGGGACAACACUGACGCUGAGGCACGAAAGCGUGGGGAGCAAACAGGAUUAGAUACCCCUGUAGUCCCUGUCUCUUAUAC
rnacentral:rRNA from 1 species